rnacentral:rRNA from 1 species
UUUGAUGGCGACCGGCGCACGGGUGAGUAACACGUAUCCAACCUGCCGAUGACUCGGGGAUAGCCUUUCGAAAGAAAGAUUAAUACCCGAUGGCAUAGUUCUUCCGCAUGGUAGAACUAUUAAAGAAUUUCGGUCAUCGAUGGGGAUGCGUCCCAUUAGGUUGUUGGCGGGGUAACGGCCCACCAAGCCUUCGAUGGAUAGGGGUUCUGAGAGGAAGGUCCCCCACAUUGGAACUGAGACACGGUCCAAACUCCUACGGGAGGCAGCAUG